CAAGAGUACUAUGAACUUCUUUGCAUUCAUUUAUAUAAGGUACUCUAGUGUUUGUUACGAUCAACAUCAAGCUUACUAACGUGAGGAUAUGACAGAUGUUCUAACAUGUGCAUGAUAUCAUAUGCAAGCUAAUCAUUUAAGAUAACAAGCUUAUUAGCUGUCAAAUUAGCUGUCUUGAGUCCCUUAUGAUUUUACUGACUGGCUGAUUAUAACAUUGCUAUAAAUGGUUUUCUGCGACAGUAGAAAGUAGGCUAGGCUUGAUGAUUUUGUGUUCAAAUACCUGGGCUGAAUGCAAACCUUCCCCCAAUCCAGGCACAGGAACAUGAGUGCUUUUAUUGACAGACAAAACAUUAGGCUCCUUGCUUCCUGUGCUCUGGUGCAUUUGAUACCUGUGCCUUUCCGUUCUCUAAGUCAGGCUGUUUGGGGAUGUACUUUACAGAUGCCAGGGCUUAUGUUGUUCUUAAGUAGGCCUGCUCCAAAGCAUUAGAAUUUCCCCCAGUCGGAGUGGGAUUUCUUCUAAGCCUACAUGUUUACAACAUACCCUAUGCAAGGUCAAAAAGGUCAAUUCUUUCCCCCAUUGUUGCUAAAUCAGAGGUGUUCUCUCUGUUUUUGGAGAAUCACAGUAGCUCUUUUAAAAUCUAUUGUUGAAUAUAGUAUUUUCAAAAAUUUCAGUGAUACAGUAGCUAAAGAUUAAACCUAACCUGCAGGGUUGAAAAAGUUGGCUCAGGUUAUGUCGAAGAAGGAAGUAAGCCUUCAUAUUAUUGUUGUCAUCACAACUUCUUUAAAGUGAACAGCCAGUUUUACUCACUGUUUGUGAUUUGUGCCUUUAGUUUUAGUCAAAAUAGAUAAUACACUUCACACUGGAUUGUAACACAAAAACGACACAACUCUACUUUCUUCCUUUGUCAUUAUAUUUAUAGAAUCAUGAUAUACGGGUUAUCAUCUUGAUCGGUUUAUCUCUUCUGUUGGUUGGGGGAGGGGAGACAUGGAAGAUUACACAGCCUACAUUAUUUGCAUUUCAUUAAGUUUUUCUAAUCAAUUUGCGCAGUGAAGCAAUAAGAAGUGAAAUGUGUUGAGCUGUCCCGCCCCUAAAUAAGAUGGUUGCCUCAGGUACUGUGUCCAGCCCCACUGUUAGCUAUUAUUACAUUGUUUUAUUACUAUAUCAGUCUGGUUUAGAAUUGAUACUGUUUGACAGUUAUACCCCAGAUAUCCAUAUUCUGGAGCCCUUGAGAUCUUGUUUUGCCUUAGAGAAAUAUUAUGUCGCCAAGGUGUCUAAUAGUAUUUGGAAAGUGUGACGACCCUUGAAACUGCACAUGAACUCCACUAUCUCACGUAUUGUUUAAUGAAUUGUUUGCUUGGGCUCCAUGUGUCUGGAAGUGUUACGUAGUCAGGAGUAAAGAAAGGUUUUAAACAAACGUUGCUCCAUCUAUGGCAUGGCUCAGAGCUCAUUCCACCCCACUAUGUCUCCCCUGACCAAUUCUUUAACCCUGGAGACCCGCGUGGUGCUCCUUCACAUCUGACCCCAGUCAAACUGAGGUCUUUCCCAGAAGACAGCGGGGGUGAGAUGGUGGUCACUCAACAGGAAUCAUACCUCAUUCCGUACAUAAAAUGACCUGUUUCAUUUUUAAACAGACAAUAUAUAGACAGUAUGUUCAAGUGUGAAAUCACUCAAAUUGGCUAUUUUAUGGGUAUUGUUAUUUCUAUUAUUGUUGUAAUUAUUUUCUUGUAAAAAGACAUGCUGCUCUUGUAAUGUUGACUGUACACCAA
ensembl:lncRNA